ensembl:lncRNA
AGAAAGGCCAAAACCUAGGAAGAAACCUAGAGAGGAACCAGGCUAUGUGGGGUGGCCAGUCCUCUUCUGGCUGUGCCGGGUGGAGAUUAUAACAGAACAUGGCCAAGAUGUUCAAAUGUUCAUAAAUGACCAGCAUGGUCGAAUAAUAAUAAGGCAGAACAGUUGAAACUGGAGCAGCAGCACAGUCAGGUGGAAGUUGAAACUGGAGCAGCAGCAUGGCCAGGUGGACUGGGGACAGCAAGGAGUCAUCAUGUCAGGUAGUCCUGGAGCUCAGGUCCUAGGGCUCAGGUCCUCCGAGAGAGAGAAAGAAAGAGAGAAGGAGAGAAUUAGAGAACGCACACUUAGAUUCACACAGGACACCGAAUAGGACAGGAGAAGUACUCCAGAUAUAACAAACUGACCCCAGCCCCCCGACACAUAAACUACUGCAGCAUAAAUACUGGAGGCUGAGACAGGAGGGGUCAGGAGACACUGUGGCCCCAUCCGAGGUCACCCCCGGACAGGGCCAAACAGGAAGGAUAUAACCCCACCCACUUUGCCAAAGCACAGCCCCCACACCACUAGAGGGAUAUCUUCAACCACCAACUUACCAUCCUGAGACAAGGCUGAGUAUAGCCCACAAAGAUCUCCGCCACGGCACAACCCAAGGGGGGGGGCGCCAACCCAGACAGGAUGACCACAACAGUGAAUCAACCCACUCAGGUGACGCACCCCUCCAGGGACGGCAUGAGAGAGCCCCAGUAAGCCAGUGACCCAGCCCCUGUAAUAGGGUUAGAGGCAGAGAAUCCCAGUGGAAAGAGGGGAACCGGCCAGGCAGAGACAGCAAGGGCGGUUCGUUGCUCCAGAGCCUUUCCGUUCACCUUCCCACUCCUG